rnacentral:rRNA from 1 species
GACGAACGCUGGCGGCGUGCAUAACACAUGCAAGUCAAGGGGGUCAGUAGCAAUACUGGCAACCGGCGAACGGGUGCGUAACACGUAAGCGACCUACCUCGAUGUGGGGCAUAGCCGGCCUAACGGCCGGGUAAUUCCGCAUAAGAUCCCGAUGAGGCAUCUCAUUGGGAUGAAACCAGUAAUGGGCGUCGAGAGGGGCUUGCGGCCUAUCAGCUAGUUGGUGAGGUAACGGCUCACCAAGGCUACGACGGGUAGCUGGUCUGAGAGGAUGGCCAGCCACAUUGGGACUGAGAUACGGCCCAGACUCCGUACGGGAGGCAGCAGUGGGGAAUCUUGCGCAAUGGCCUAACGGCUGACGCAGCGACGCCGCGUGAGGGAUGGAA